rnacentral:lncRNA from 1 species
GUCUGUGUUUUUCGAUCUGUCGAGUUAAGCCCUUUUCAACAGAGUUGGUUAAUUUGUUUUCUAAUGUGGUGCGGUAACACCACUUUCCCACGUUUAGAAAAGGUUAGGCCGUCAUAGACAUGUUUAAUCCCACCACGUUCUUAGUGAUUGUCGUUGGUUCCUGUCUGUCAUAUUUGUUUUUCAUAAACUGUUUGUAAAAAUUAAGGCUGUUAUUUU